rnacentral:rRNA from 1 species
UACGUAGGGACCGAGCGUUGUCCGGAAUUAUUGGGCGUAAAGAGCUCGUAGGUGGUUCGGUAAGUCGGAUGUGAAAUCUCCAGGCUCAACCUGGAGGGGUCAUUCGAUACUGCCGUGACUAGAGGUCGGUAGGGGAGUGUGGAAUUCCUGGUGGAGCGGUGAAAUGCGCAGAUAUCAGGAGGAACACCCGUAGCGAAGGCGGCACUCUGGGCCGAUACUGACACUGAGGAGCGAAAGCGUGGGGAGCGAACAGG